GCCAGGUGUGGUGGCGCACACCUGUAAUCCCAGCUACUCAGGAGGCUGAGGCAGGAGAAUCACUUGAACCCAGGAGGCGGAGGUUGCAGUGAGCCAAGAUUGUGCCACUGCAUUCCAGCCUGCGUGAUAGAGUGAGACUCAGUCUCAA
ensembl:misc_RNA Metazoa_SRP Metazoan signal recognition particle RNA